rnacentral:rRNA from 1 species
AUGAAUACAUUAUUCUGGAACUGCCGGGGGGUGGGGAACCGCCGGACAGUUCGUGAGGUGUUGGCCCUCGUAAAAGCUAACGACCCCAAGCUUGUCUUCCUGUGCGAGACAAGACAAGCUUCAGCUAAGGUGGAGAAUCUUAAGUGGAGAUUGGGUUUGAAAGGUUUUUGUGGUGUUUCUAGUGAUGGAUUAAGCGGGGGUUUGGCUCUUUUUUGGGAUGAAAGCCUGCAGGUUACUGUUCUUGAUUCAUGUGCAUGA